rnacentral:rRNA from 1 species
UACGGAGGGAGCUAGCGUUGUUCGGAAUUACUGGGCGUAAAGCGCACGUAGGCGGCUUUGUAAGUCAGAGGUGAAAGCCUGGAGCUCAACUCCAGAACUGCCUUUGAGACUGCAUCGCUUGAAUCCAGGAGAGGUGAGUGGAACUGCGAGUGUAGAGGUGAAAUUCGUAGAUAUUCGCAAGAACACCAGUGGCGAAGGCGGCUCACUGGCCCGGUACUGACGCUGAGGUGCGAAAGCGUGGGGAGCAAACAGG